rnacentral:rRNA from 1 species
AGCGAACGCUGGCGGCAGGCCUAACACAUGCAAGUCGAACGAACUCUUCGGAGUUAGUGGCGGACGGGUGGGUAACACGUGGGAACGUGCCUUUUGGUUCGGAAUAACUCAGGGAAACUUGUGCUAAUACCGAAUGUGCCCUUCGGGGGAAAGAUUUAUCGCCAUUAGAGCGGCCCGCGUCUGAUUAGCUAGUUGGUGAGGUAACGGCUCACCAAGGCGACGAUCAGUAGCUGGUCUGAGAGGAUGACCAGCCACACUGGGACUGAGACACGGCCCAGACUCCUACGGGAGGCAGCAGUGGGGAAUCUUGCGCAAUGGGCGAAAGCCUGACGCAGCCAUGCCGCGUGAAUGAUGAAGGUCUUAGGAUUGUAAAAUUCUUUAACCGGGGACGAUAAUGACGGUACCCGGAGAAGAAGCCCCGGCUAACUUCGUG